AGGACGAACGCUGGCGGCGUGCUUAACACAUGCAAGUGGAGCGACGAACCAGGGCUUGCCCUGGGGCAGAGCCGCGAACGGGUGAGUAACACGUGGGUUACCUGCCUCGAUGACCGGGACAACCCGAGGAAACUCGGGCUAAUACCGGAUGUGCCCGCAAGGGGAAAGGAAGCUUCGGCCUCCGCAUCGAGAUGGGCCCGCGGCCCAUUAGCUUGUUGGUGAGGUAAAGGCUCACCAAGGCUUCGAUGGGUAGCUGGUCUGAGAGGACGAUCAGCCACACUGGGACUGAGACACGGCCCAGACUCCUACGGGAGGCAGCAGUGGGGAAUCUUGCGCAAUGCGCGAAAGCGUGACGCAGCAACGCCGCGUGGGGGAAGAAGGCUUUCGGGUUGUAAACCCCUUUCAGUUGGGACGAAGCUCCGCCGGUGAAUAGCCGGACGGAGUGACGGUACCUUCACAAGAAGCACCGGCUAACUACGUGCCAGCAGCCGCGGU
rnacentral:rRNA from 1 species